rnacentral:rRNA from 1 species
CCUACGGGGGGCUGCAGUGGGGAAUAUUGGACAAUGGGCGAAAGCCUGAUCCAGCCAUGCCGCGUGUGUGAAGAAGGCCUUCGGGUUGUAAAGCACUUUCAGUGGGGAAGAAAGCCUUGGGGCUAAUACCCUCGAGGAAGGACAUCACCCACAGAAGAAGCACCGGCUAACUCCGUGCCAGCAGCCGCGGUAAUACGGAGGGUGCGAGCGUUAAUCGGAAUUACUGGGCGUAAAGCGCGCGUAGGCGGUCUGAUAAGCCGGUUGUGAAAGCCCUGGGCUCAACCUGGGAACGGCAUCCGGAACUGUCAGGCUAGAGUGCAGGAGAGGAAGGUAGAAUUCCCGGUGUAGCGGUGAAAUGCGUAGAGAUCGGGAGGAAUACCAGUGGCGAAGGCGGCCUUCUGGACUGACACUGACGCUGAGGUGCGAAAGCGUGGGUAGCAAACAGGAUUAGAUACCCGAGUAGUC